rnacentral:rRNA from 1 species
UAGGGAAUCUUCCACAAUGGACGCAAGUCUGAUGGAGCAACGCCGCGUGAGUGAAGAAGGCUUUCGGGUCGUAAAACUCUGUUAUUGAAGAAGAACGUGCGUGACAGUAACUGGUCAUGCAGUGACGGUAUUCAAUCAGAAAGUCACGGCUAACUACGUGCCAGCAGCCGCGGUAAUACGUAGGUGGCAAGCGUUGUCCGGAUUUAUUGGGCGUAAAGCGAGUGCAGGCGGUCUUUUAAGUCUGAUGUGAAAGCCUUCGGCUUAACCGAAGAAGGGCAUCGGAAACUGGGAGACUUGAGUGCAGAAGAGGAGAGUGGAACUCCAUGUGUAGCGGUGAAAUGCGUAGAUAUAUGGAAGAACACCAGUGGCGAAGGCGGCUCUCUGGUCUGUAACUGACGCUGAGGCUCGAAAGCGUGGGGUAGCAAACAGGAUUAGAUAC